GAAAGAAAUUAUAAGAUAUUCAUUAUCUGAAGCUUGUGAACUGGUGGAUCUUCAAUAGAUUCUAGUAAGAAGUAUGUCUUUCUGACUAAGGGUAUUUGACUUGGGUAGGGCAUGUCAAAGUACUCCACCAAUCAGAACUUCUGUUAAUGACCCCCGACAUCUUAUCCUUGGUGCUUGAGUUUACAGCCCCUGUAUUAGAUCAAAUACAAAACCAACUUCAUUUAAUUCGUGCCCAAGGACUACCUAAAGAAUCACAAACUUCUUCAAAUAUCAAGGGUUUUAGGCCAUGAACACUGUAAUGAUUUGAAAAUGACUUCUAAGUGACAGACAAGCAAGCAGUCAUUAGUUUGGGGGGAAAUUUUGGUAUAACCUACUACUACGAUUACUACUAGUUUUAUUCGCCAAUACCAGGGUUUAUACCUCUGACUAAGCUUUUUGCUGGUUGUUUUGGAAAUGGAGUCUCUCAGACUUUUCGGCCCUGGCUGGCUGUAUAUCAUGAUUUUCUAGGUCUCAGCCUCUAGAGUACCCAGAUGCCCAGCUGAGAUAGAACUCAUUUUUGAGCAGUUAAAGAUAGGAUUUUUCUGACAUAGCAUUAUAUCAGCUUUGUCUUUUUCACUUUUUAAGGGAUUUUUGGAAAGUUCUAUAGAUUACUUAUAUGACUAUAGAUAAGAGUUCUG